rnacentral:rRNA from 1 species
NNNNNNGAGAGUUUGAUCCUGGCUCAGGAUGAACGCUGGCGGCGUGCCUAACACAUGCAAGUCGAGCGAAGGAUAUAAACUUAGCGGCGGAUGGGUGAGUAACGCGUGAGAAAUCUACCUGCACUAGGGAUAGCCUCGGGAAACUGGGAAUAAUACCCUCUGACACUUACAUUUCACAUGAAAGUAAGUUAAAGCUUUAGCCCUUUUGCUUGAUGAUUACAGUCCCAUUAGUUAGUUGGUAAGGUAAUGGCUUACCAAGACUACGAUGGGUAGCCGGCCUGAGAGGGUGACCGGCCACACUGGAACUGAGACACGGUCCAGACUCCUACGGGAGGCAGCAGUGGGGAAUAUUGCACAAUGGAGGAAACUCUGAUGCAGCGACGUCGCGUGAACGAUGAAGGUCUUCGGAUCGUAAAGUUCUGUCCUAGGGGAAGAUAGUGACGGUACCUUAGGAGGAAGCCCCGGCUAACUACGUGCCAGCAGCCGCGGUAACACGUAGGGGGCGAGCGUUGUCCGGAAUUACUGGGUGUAAAGGGUGCGUAGGCGGCCUUGCAAGCCAGAUGUGAAAGAUCAUGGCUUAACUGUGGUAAGCAUUUGAAACUGUAAGGCUUGAGUACAGGAGAGGAGAGUGGAAUUCCUAGUGUAGCGGUGAAAUGCGUAGANAUUAGGAAGAAUAUCAGUGGCGAAGGCGGCUCUCUGGACUGUAACUGACGCUGAGGCAUGAAAGCGUGGGNAGCAAACAGGAUUAGAUACCCUGGUAGUCCACGCUGUAAACGAUGAGUGCUAGGUGUCGGGGGUCAUACCUCGGUGCCGCAGUUAACGCAUUAAGCACUCCACCUGGGGAGUACGGCCGCAANUGAAACUCAAAGGAAUUGACGGGGACCCGCACAAGCAGCGGAGCAUGUGGUUUAAUUCGACGCAACGCGAAGAACCUUACCAGGGCUUGACAUNCCUCGGACCGGACUAGAGAUAGUCCUUUCCCUUCGGGGACUGAGGGUGACAGGUGGUGCAUGGUUGUCGUCAGUCCCGCAACGAGCGNAACCCUUNNNNNNNNNNNNNNNNNNNNNNNNNNNNNNNNNNNNNNNNNNNNNNNNNNNNNNNNGGAGGAAGGUGGGGAUGACGUCAAAUCAUCAUGCCCUUUAUGUCCUGGGCUACACACGUGCUACAAUGGUCGAUACAACGGGUUGCCACCUCGNAAGAGGGAGCUAAUCCCACAAAGUCGAUCCCAGUUCGGAUUGUAGGCUGCAACUCGCCUACAUGAAGCUGGAGUUGCUAGUAAUCGCAAAUCAGAAUGUUGCGGUGAAUACGUUCCCGGGUCUUGUACACACCGCCCGUCACACCAUGGAAGUUGACAAUACCCGAAGCCAGUGAGCCAACCAUUUGGAGGCAGCUGUCGAAGGUAGGGCCAAUGACUGGGGUCAAGUCGUAACAAGGUAGCCGUAUCGGAAGGUGCCGG